rnacentral:misc_RNA from 1 species
AAGUCGUAACAAGGUUUUCGCAGGUGAACCUGCGGAAGAUCAUUAACACGUCCAACAUAAAACCAGGCCACACGAGGGCGUCCAAAUCACCGGGCGCAAGCCCCCCUAAACCACAUGUCAACGUGGCCCUUCUGUCGUGGUUGGGCGUAAAAACGAACAACUGGUAACAAUUGAUAUCUUGGUUC